rnacentral:rRNA from 1 species
GACGAACCACACGAACGUUAUUCGGAAUUACUGGGCUUAAAGGGUGCGUAGGCGGCGCGGACAGUUGGGUGUGAAAUCCCUCGGCUUAACCGAGGAACUGCGCCCAAAACUACCGUGCUCGAGGAAGAUAGAGGUGAGCGGAACUUACGGUGGAGCGGUGAAAUGCGUUGAUAUCGUAAGGAACACCUGUGGCGAAAGCGGCUCACUGGGUCUUUUCUGACGCAGAAGCACGAAAGCUAGGGGAGCAAACGGG